AAUAGGAUGAGUUAUAGAGAGAGGUUAUAUAGAGUAAUAGGAGGAGUUAUAGAGAGAGGUUAUAUGGAGUAAUAGGAGGAGUUAUAGAGAGAGGUUAUAUGGAGUAAUAGGAGGAGUUAUAGGGAGAGGAUAUAUAGAGUAAUAGGAGGAGUUAUAGAGAGAGGUUAUAUGGAGUAAUAGGAGGAGUUAUAGGGAGAGGAUAUAUAGAGUAAUAGGAGGAGUUAUAGAGAGAGGUUAUAUGGAGUAAUAGGA